GACAAACGCUGGCGGCGUGCUUAACACAUGCAAGUCGAGCGGUAAGGCCCUUUCGGGGUACGACGAGCGGCGAACGGGUGAGUAACACGUGGGUGACCUGCCCUCAGCUCUGGGAUAAGCCUGGGAAACCGGGUCUAAUACUGGAUAUGACUCCAUGACGCAUGUUGUGGGGUGGAAAGCCUUGUGCGGCUGAGGAUGGGCCCGCGGCCUAUCAGCUUGUUGGUGGGGUGAGGCCUACCAAGGCGACGACGGGUAGCCGGCCUGAGAGGGCGACCGGCCACACUGGGACUGAGACACGGCCCAGACUCCUACGGGAGGCAGCAGUGGGGAAUCUUGCGCAAUGGGCGAAAGCCUGACGCAGCGACGCCGCGUGAGGGAUGACGGCCU
rnacentral:rRNA from 1 species